rnacentral:rRNA from 1 species
GACGAACGCUGGCGGCGUGCUUAACACAUGCAAGUCGAACGGAAAGGCCCUUCGGGGUACUCGAGUGGCGAACGGGUGAGUAACACGUGGGUGAUCUGCCCUGCACUUUGGGAUAAGCCUGGGAAACUGGGUCUAAUACCGAAUAGGACCACGCGCUUCAUGGUGUGUGGUGGAAAGCUUUUGCGGUGUGGGAUGGGCCCGCGGCCUAUCAGCUUGUUGGUGGGGUAAUGGCCUACCAAGGCGACGACGGGUAGCCGGCCUGAGAGGGUGACCGGCCACACUGGGACUGAGAUACGGCCCAGACUCCUACGGGAGGCAGCAGUGGGGAAUAUUGCACAAUGGGCGCAAGCCUGAUGCAGCGACGCCGCGUGAGGGAUGACGGCCUUCGGGUUGUAAACCUCUUUCAAUAGGGACGAAGCGCAAGUGACGGUACCUAUAGAAGAAGCACCGGCCGACUACGUGCCAGCAGCCGCGGUAAUACGUAGGGUGCGAGCGUUGUCCGGAAUUACUGGGCGUAAAGAGCUCGUAGGUGGUUUGUCGCGUUGUUCGUGAAAACUCACAGCUUAACUGUGGGCGUGCGGGCGAUACGGGCAGACUAGAGUACUGCAGGGGAGACUGGAAUUCCUGGUGUAGCGGUGGAAUGCGCAGAUAUCAGGAGGAACACCGGUGGCGAAGGCGGGUCUCUGGGCAGUAACUGACGCUGAGGAGCGAAAGCGUGGGGAGCGAACAGGAUUAGAUACCCUGGUAGUCCACGCCGUAAACGGUGGGUACUAGGUGUGGGUUCCUUCCUUGGGAUCCGUGCCGUAGCUAACGCAUUAAGUACCCCGCCUGGGGAGUACGGCCGCAAGGCUAAAACUCAAAGGAAUUGACGGGGGCCCACACAAGCGGCGGAGCAUGUGGAUUAAUUCGAUGCAACGCGAAGAACCUUACCUGGGUUUGACAUGCACAGGACGCCGGCAGAGAUGUCGGUUCCCUUGUGGCCUGUGUGCAGGUGGUGCAUGGCUGUCGUCAGCUCGUGUCGUGAGAUGUUGGGUUAAGUCCCGCAACGAGCGCAACCCUUGUCCUAUGUUGCCAGCGGGUUAUGCCGGGGACUCGUAGGAGACUGCCGGGGUCAACUCGGAGGAAGGUGGGGAUGACGUCAAGUCAUCAUGCCCCUUAUGUCCAGGGCUUCACACAUGCUACAAUGGCCGGUACAAAGGGCUGCGAUGCCGUGAGGUGGAGCGAAUCCUUUCAAAGCCGGUCUCAGUUCGGAUCGGGGUCUGCAACUCGACCCCGUGAAGUCGGAGUCGCUAGUAAUCGCAGAUCAGCAACGCUGCGGUGAAUACGUUCCCGGGCCU